GGGGCUUGAACGGCUGGGUAAAGCUCAUGAAAGUGAGUGUGCUCUUCGGAGCGAUCCAGAAG
rnacentral:rRNA from 1 species